AGUGAACGCUGGCGGUAGGCCUAACACAUGCAAGUCGAACGGCAGCACAGUAAGAGCUUGCUCUUACGGGUGGCGAGUGGCGGACGGGUGAGGAAUACAUCGGAAUCUACUUUUUCGUGGGGGAUAACGUAGGGAAACUUACGCUAAUACCGCAUACGACCUACGGGUGAAAGCAGGGGAUCUUCGGACCUUGCGCGAUUGAAUGAGCCGAUGUCGGAUUAGCUAGUUGGCGGGGUAAAGGCCCACCAAGGCGACGAUCCGUAGCUGGUCUGAGAGGAUGGUCAGCCACACUGGAACUGAGACACCGUCCAGACUCCUACGAGAGGCAGCAGAGGGGAAUAUUAGACAAUGGGCGCGAGCAUGAUCCAGCCAUACCGCGUGGGUGAAAGAGGCCUUCGGGUUGUAAAGACCUUUUGUUGGGAAAGAAAAGCAGCCGGUUAAUACCCCGCUGUUCUGACGGUACCCAAAGAAUAAGCACCGGCUAACUUCGUG
rnacentral:rRNA from 1 species